UACGUAGGUGGCAAGCGUUAUCCGGAAUUAUUGGGCGUAAAGAGCUCGUAGGCGGCUCGGCAAGUCGGGUGUGAAACCUCCAGGCUCAACCUGGAGACGCCACUCGAUACUGCUGUGGCUAGAGUCCAGUAGGGGAGCGUGGAAUUCCUGGUGUAGCGGUGAAAUGCGCAGAUAUCAGGAGGAACACCAGCGGCGAAGGCGGCGCUCUGGGCUGGAACUGACGCUGAGGAGCGAAAGCGUGGGGAGCAAACAGG
rnacentral:rRNA from 1 species